UCCCUGGUGGCCUAGUGGUUAAAGACCUAGCAUUGUCACUGCUGUGGCUUGGAUCACUGCUGUGGCUCAGGUUCGAUCCCUAGCCUGGGAA
rfam:Sus scrofa chromosome 8.